rnacentral:rRNA from 1 species
AGUGAACGCUGGCGGUAGGCCUAACACAUGCAAGUCGAACGGCAGCACAGGAGAGCUUGCUCUCUGGGUGGCGAGUGGCGGACGGGUGAGGAAUACAUCGGAAUCUACUCUGUCGUGGGGGAUAACGUAGGGAAACUUACGCUAAUACCGCAUACGACCUACGGGUGAAAGCAGGGGACCUUCGGGCCUUGCGCGAUUGAAUGAGCCGAUGUCGGAUUAGCUAGUUGGCGGGGUAAAGGCCCACCAAGGCGACGAUCCGUAGCUGGUCUGAGAGGAUGAGCAGCCACACUGGAACUGAGACACGGGCCAGACCCCUACGGGAGGCAGCAGUGGGGAAUAUUGGACAAUGGGCGCAAGCCUGAUCCAGCCAUACCGCGUGGGUGAAGAAGGCCUUCGGGUUGUAAAGCCCUUUUGUUGGGAAAGAAAUCCAGCUGGCUAAUACCCGGUUGAGAUGACGGUACCCAAAGAAUAAGCACCGGCUAACUUCGUGCCAGCCGCCGCGGUAA